AAAAAAUUUAUGAUUGAUAUAAUCAUUCUUUGAUAAUUACAAAACGUCCAGAAGCUACAGGUUUAUGAUUUUUUACUUGUCAUGUCCUGGUUAAAUAACAAAGGCCUCUGAUAGGGAAAACGACUGAAUACCAUUUAAUUUUCUUGCUUAUCUUCACACCUUUAAUAGUAAAACUUGAAGAGCACUGUCCUUUUUUCACACAAACUCACUGUUACCACAAACCAAGGUCUGCUAUAACUGUGAUCUACACCUGUUACAUAAACGUGAUAGAUGAUAUUACUCAAUAAUAUCACAUAUUACUCUUGUGUCCCUCUGUCAUUACAGAAUGCAAUAUUUUCAAUUUGAGAUAGUGGUGGAUUGAUAUUACCUGCUAGCGUUACAUGUGUGUUUCUUUUUCCUUUUCUGUAGUCAUCAGUGACUUUUCAGAAAGCACCCGAGUUGUAUAACUCUUUCUCUGAGUAUUGACAUUUGUUGGUUAGGCACUUCAAAAGCUUUCCCAACUAACAAUCACCUCAUGUUGAUGCCUCUUCAAGUGCUUCACAAUAAUGGACUUCUCUGUUGUUUAGUCAUGUCAUCAAAGUGGCACACACCUUGUGCUUGAACUUGGAAAGUUUAGUAGCUAAACUAAAGUCAUGUAUAGUAUAGUUGCCAAGUAAACAACAAUAUGUACCUGUAGCAUAAUUAUGCAUAUUGAUAUCAAGCGUACCUGUAGCAUAAGUGUGCAUAUUGAUAUCUAGCGUUCAACAUCUCGUGAUCUAUUAUGUUACUGUGCAAUCUGAAUAUUGACUCUUGUCUCUUACUGUUUCUUUACCCUGUCCUGGCUUAAUGCUGCAGUUGCUUGAUUGGCCACAGUAUCUUCUUGUUCCCAAGUUAAAAAAUAGUCAUGGAACUACAUGAGCCUCGGUAGCUACCGUUACCUAUGGAUUGAUCAGCUUUGGCUAUUAUAACUCUCUUAAGAGUGAUGCAAUUAAUCACCAAAAGAAAGGAUACAAAGCAUAGAGAUGAUGAAAUAUAGGAAUCAGAGGGAAACAAUCAUCUCAAUUAUCCAACCACAUGGUCUUUGCUUUUAACCUUUAACUUUCCUAGUUAGUGCUCUGAGAUGUGUACUGUUCGAACUAUCAUACUCAGUUUUGCAAUUUUCUUUCCUUCUAGGGGUAUGGGCGACUGUUCUUUAGAUUCUACCAAGUUCUUUGCACAUCUUCAAAAAACAACUGAACACAAAAAGUGGUCCUAUAAGAUUUAUACAAUGUCUUUACUUGUGCCUCUUUUCACCACCUUGUCCACUCAUCACAUGCUUCCUUCUCAAUUGCAGUAACUGGU
rnacentral:lncRNA from 1 species